rnacentral:lncRNA from 1 species
GAGAGGCGCCUCCGCCGCUCCUUUCUCAUGGAAAUGGCCCGGGAGCCCGGCCGUCGCGGCGCCCCUCCCGCGGGAAAAAAGGCGAGCCCCGGCCCCCGGUGGCCCCUCGCUCCGCGGACAAAUCCGGUGAACAAUGCGCCCGCCCAGAGGGCGGCCCAGCUGCUGGGCCGGGGAUCUGGCCGCGGGACACAAAGGGGCCCGCAUGCCUAGGACGUCACGAGAAGGGUGGGGGCGACCGCGGGGGAGAAUGUGGCCACCCGGCCCCUGACCACGUGUGUCCGCAGCUCUGAGUGCUCGAGAUCCCGAAGAGGGAGACGAGGGCCAGAAGACAAAGGGAGGGGCUGGGGAAGCGGCGGGCUGAGGGGCGCGGGAGGGAAGUGUGCAGCUUCCCGGGUUGUGUUGGCGCGUCGGGCUACCCACGGGCAGUCCUGGGCGCUGUCCUCGGUGCUGGCCGUGGAGUCACCCAGAGAGACGGGGCGCUAAUGCGCUUGGGGCGAAGGGUCCUGAGUAUCACUGUUCCCAUCUAGGGAGCCCUGGAUAGUUGCCGCAGCACCCCCAGAGAAAUAGGGUAGGGUCUGGGGUCACUGCAGUCUGUCCCCUGGGCGCUCUGGUUGGGGGUCGCAGGAUGAAGGCGGUGAUCACUUUAAUUUUGAAGAAACCCCUGAACCUUAGGUUGAGGUUUAAGAUGUGGAAGUGGGGCAUCUGCAUCUGCACCUAAGGUCUAAAUCUGGGUGGAUACACUGGACCGCAUCCCGCCCUCAAACCUCUCUCCAGCUAUGCGGGACGCGAGGCACGUGAGGCUCUGCAGCCCAGAGAGAAAAUGACAAAUCCUCCUCCUCCCUCCCCCCACCACCAUCUGCAGCCGCAGUGACACCCACUCAGGUCUGCUGCAGGCAUUUUUUUUUUUUUCUGUCCUCGGCAGCCAGCGCCACCUGCUGGCGUCCUGGUAUGAGACUCUGCUCUGGCAUGUCUCCUCCCAGCACGGUUUCUGAUCCCCAAGGUUACAGGCCCUAUUCCCUAGGGCAGUGGUUCUCAACCUUCAGAAUGCUGCUACCCUUUAAUACAGUUCUUCAUGUUGUGGUGACCCCUCAACCAUAAAAUUAUUUUCGUUGCUA